AAGCUUGCUUCUCUUGAGAGCGGCGGACGGGUGAGUAAUGCCUAGGAAUCUGCCUGGUAGUGGGGGAUAACGCUCGGAAACGGACGCUAAUACCGCAUACGUCCUACGGGAGAAAGCAGGGGACCUUCGGGCCUUGCGCUAUCAGAUGAGCCUAGGUCGGAUUAGCUAGUUGGUGGGGUAAUGGCUCACCAAGGCGACGAUCCGUAACUGGUCUGAGAGGAUGAUCAGUCACACUGGAACUGAGACACGGUCCAGACUCCUACGGGAGGCAGCAGUGGGGAAUAUUGGACAAUGGGCGAAAGCCUGAUCCAGCCAUGCCGCGUGUGUGAAGAAGGUCUUCGGAUUGUAAAGCACUUUAAGUUGGGAGGAAGGGCAGUAACCUAAUACGUUGCUGUCUUGACGUUACCGACAGAAUAAGCACCGGCUAACUCUGUGCCAGCAGCCGCGGUAAUACAGAGGGUGCAAGCGUUAAUCGGAAUUACUGGGCGUAAAGCGCGCGUAGGUGGUUUGUUAAGUUGGAUGUGAAAUCCCCGGGCUCAACCUGGGAACUGCAUUCAAAACUGACAAGCU
rnacentral:rRNA from 1 species